GACGAACGCUGGCGGCGUGCCUAAUACAUGCAAGUAGAACGCUGAAGAGAGGAGCUUGCUCUUCUUGGAUGAGUUGCGAACGGGUGAGUAACGCGUAGGUAACCUGCCUUGUAGCGGGGGAUAACUAUUGGAAACGAUAGCUAAUACCGCAUAACAAUGGAUGACACAUGUCAUUUAUUUGAAAGGGGCAAUUGCUCCACUACAAGAUGGACCUGCGUUGUAUUAGCUAGUAGGUGAGGUAAUGGCUCACCUAGGCGACGAUACAUAGCCGACCUGAGAGGGUGAUCGGCCACACUGGGACUGAGACACGGCCCAGACUCCUACGGGAGGCAGCAGUAGGGAAUCUUAGGCAAUGGGGGCAACCCUGACCGAGCAACGCCGCGUGAGUGAAGAAGGUUUUCGGAUCGUAAAGCUCUGUUGUAAGUCAAGAACGGGUGUGAGAGUGGAAAGUUCACACUGUGACGGUAGCUUACCAGAAAGGGACGGCUAACUACGUG
rnacentral:rRNA from 1 species